rnacentral:rRNA from 1 species
GACGAACGCUGGCGGCGUGCUUACCACAUGCAAGUCGAACGGAAAGGACCUGCUUUUGUGGGGUGCUCGCGUGGCGAACGGGUGAGUAACACGUGAGUAACCUGCCCUUGACUUUGGGAUAACUUCAGGAAACUGGGGCUAAUACCGGAUAGGAGCUCCUGCUGCAUGGUGGGGGUUGGAAAGUUUCGGCGGUUGGGGAUGGACUCGAGGCUUAUCCGCUUGUUGGUGGGGUAGUGGCUUACCAAGGCUUUGACGGGUAGCCGGCCGGAGAGGGUGACCGGCCACAUUGGGACUGAGAUACGGACCAGACUCCUACGGGAGGCAGCAGUGAGGAAUAUUUCACAAUGGGCGGAAGCCUGAUGCAGCAACGCCGCGUGCGGGAUGACGGCCUUCGGGUUGUAAACCGCUUUCGCCUGUGACGAAGCGUGAGUGACGGUAAUGGGUAUAGAAGCACCGGCUAACUACGUG